UUCCGAUGUGGGGGCACUUGAGCCAUUGUUAAGCAUCUGCUCUGUACCGCAGAGCUGUUCACUCAGAGGGGAUAGGAGCUGAACUCUGGGAGACAGUCAACUCUACAAGGUCACAGAGAGAAAGGGAAAAACCCCUCCAGCUGGACAAUCAGGAGAGGUUCUUGGAAGGGCUUUCUUUAGGAUCGAGUGUCAAACACCAGGUCACCUGGCUUCCCCCAGCCCACUUGGCCUUUCAGGCUCCAGAUCGGAUUCCAACCGCAGAAUCUCCACACUCAGGGGAGGACCCCAUCCAUCCAGGAGGGCCUGCCCCCGCUGUACCCAAAGGCCACACAGCAUUAGCACUUGGGCUGGAGACUGGAGAAAGGCACUGCUGAAUGAUAAACUCAGGCUGCUGAGGUCCUGCAGCUGGCCGGCACGGCAAAGAGGCUGUGCAACCAUGGGGGCUGCUUCUUAAACAACAGUGGGAAACCGGGAUCCUCUCCCUGAGAAGGUAAAGGCCCAGCUCCACCCUGCUCUCUGUAUACCCUCAGCACUGCCAGAUCUCUUUCCAGACUAUUCUCUCUCUCUCAGAGGCAGAGGCCAGCCACAGGGACAUUUGAAGAUACCCCCCACCCUCCGAUUCACCAUGGGGUAAUGGUCACCAUCAAAGAGGAUUUCUGCCGCCCUGACUCAGGCUCAGCCUUUAAGCUUCUCAUUUCAUCCUCCCGAUAGCCACUAUGGUACCGCUAUGGUAACUGCCUUUCCCAGUGAGUUCAGAGAGCUUGGAAGAUUCCCAAGGUCACCGAGAAGAAAGUAGCUAGAACUCCUAAGCUCAUGCUGUUGACCCCCACCUGCUGCUUCCCUCCAAUCCUCCCUCAUGGGAACUUGUACUCAAGAGAUGCCCAACAAAACCCACUGAACUUAACACUGGUAACAGCUUAAGGCAGACCCUUCCCCAGGGAUGCUUGCGCUGCAUGUAUAGCUGCCUGUCGUUGUGGACCUGGGUGGCGUAUCUGCAAUGGUGGCAUUUCAGACAGACAGCAUGAAGCUGAUCAUUUUCAUUUGGGAAUGAAAUGAUCCCAGAGUCCCACGACCACCCUGUACAGGCGGAUGACUCCCAUCUCUCUCAUGAAACUGCCCCUUCAAGGUUAAGCAAUCAGACCCCUCUGUUUCCGUGUUCACUACUCACUAGCUUGGCUCCGAGGCAAAUGUUCUAGACCUAUUAAUUAUCACAGGAUAAUUAGGGAUGGGGAAAUCCAGGUGCAGAUAAAAUCAUUGCCUCUCCCCACCUGCCCCCACAUUCCCCUCUUGUCUCCCUGAAAUCCCGGGAUGUGCUGUGUUUCCCUGUCAUCUCCACCCCAUGACUCCCACCAGACUCACCAGGCCAGUGCCAAAAUGCCCAGAGGAGUGCUGAGCCACCAUGCCGGGGCCUGCUAGAGCUGCCUGGCCAAGUCAAAGUGACCCAGAAAGCUCCUCCCACUGCCCUAGAAGUCUCAGACACCUUAAGGAACCUUCCUUCCUUCUCACCCUCAGAGCUUAAGCUGCCUUCGUACCCCCAACCUUCCCAUUCAGUUGAUAGGAGACACUGACUAGGGUAAGGAUCCUUAUCCAGAGAUCCAUGCGCUUACCAAGGGACUGCUUGAUUCCCCCAAGGCUGUCUGUCAGUGAAAUUCUCUAUGCAUGUAUAUAUUGAAUUUAUCUGGGAAGACUCCAAGGUACAGGAGACCCUCAAAGAUCUCUGAACUACCCCCAAAUGGUUAAGCAAUAAGAUUCUGGACCAAGGUGUCACUGAACCCACCCCUGUAAGCACCCAUGAGGUCCGCUAAAUCUUACAACCAUGCGGAGAACAGGCUAUAACUUAAUGGUCGGGAGUACCAACCUGAGCUUCAUCCCAGUCAGUGCUGCUACUUGCUCUGUCUCCUCAGUUUCCCUGUCUGAAAUUGGGAUCACAGUGGUCUCAACCACAUAGAGCUAUCGUGAGGGUUAGGGUAAAAGAAGUUCACCAAGCUAGGCACAGCACACUACCCCUGAUCCACAGUAAGUGCUCAAUAUAUGUCAGCUACUACUUAUCACCUGCUUCAGAAAUGAAAUGGGAUCUCAGUGAGGCUAAUUGAAUAGUCCAGUGUCACACAGCACUGCCCUAGCUGGGAGCCCUCGCUGGGGCAGACUGGGAUGGGAUUCUGGGAAUACCAUCUGUCCAGAGUUGAUGCCUCCAUCAGCUCCAUCAGCGUGACAGGACUGAUUUACUGGGGUUGGAUCAGGAUUGGGGUUAAUCCAGAGAUCAGAGUCACCCCUGGAAGAGUGGAGUUUGGUCUCCCAUGGCUUUUGAGCUCAGGAGAGCUGAGUUCUAGUUUCAGUGUUAUCUGUGAUUGGGCCAGCCCUGCCCCCUCAGGGCUGCUGUUUUCCACUAUAACAUGAGGUGGGGUGAGAAGCCUGGAUCUCAUCUCAAGAA